UAACGCGUGGAUAACCUGCCGUAUACAGGGGGAUAACNCUUANAAAUAGGUGCUAAUACCGCAUAAGCGCACGGUUCCGCAUGGAACAGUGUGAAAAACUCCGGUGGUAUACGAUGGAUCCGCGUCUGAUUAGCCAGUUGGCGGGGUAACGGCCCACCAAAGCGACGAUCAGUAGCCGGCCUGAGAGGGUGAACGGCCACAUUGGGACUGAGACACGGCCCAAACUCCUACGGGAGGCAGCAGUGGGGAAUAUUGCACAAUGGGGGAAACCCUGAUGCAGCGACGCCGCGUGAGUGAAGAAGUAUCUCGGUACGUAAAGCUCUAUCAGCAGGGAAGAAAAUGACGGUACCUGACUAAGAAGCCCCGGCUAACUACGUGCCAGCAGCCGCGGUAAUACGUAGGGGGCAAGCGUUAUCCGGAUUUACUGGGUGUAAAGGGAGCGUAGACGGCAGCGCAAGUCUGGAGUGAAAUGCCGGGGCUCAACCCCGGAACUGCUUUGGAAACUGUGCAGCUCGAGUGCAGGAGAGGUAAGCGGAAUUCCUAGUGUAGCGGUGAAAUGCGUAGAUAUUAGGAGGAACACCAGUGGNGAAGGCGGCUUACUGGACUGUAACUGACGUUGAGGCUCGAAAAGC
rnacentral:rRNA from 1 species